rnacentral:rRNA from 1 species
CUGUGGCUAAUACCGCAUGAUGACUGAGGUCUAAAGGCGCAAGUCGCCUGAGGAGGAGCCUGCGUCCGAUUUAGCUAGUUGGUGGGGUAAAGGCCUACCCAAGGCUCCGAUCGGUAGCUGGUCUGAGAGGAUGAUCAGCCACACUGGGACUGAGACACGGCCCAGACUCCUACGGGAGGCAGCAGUGGGGAAUAUUGGACAAUGGGCGCAAGCCUGAUCCAGCAAUGCCGCGUGGGUGAAGAAGGUCUUCGGAUUGUAAAGCCCUUUCGACGGGGACGAUGAUGACGGUACCCGUAGAAGAAGCCCCGGCUAACUUCGUG